GUGGGGAAUAUUGGGCAAUGGGGGAAACCCUGACCCAGCAACGCCGCGUGAAGGAAGAAGGCCUUCGGGUUGUAAACUUCUUUUACCAGGGACGAAGGACGUGACGGUACCUGGAGAAAAAGCAACGGCUAACUACGUGCCAGCAGCCGCGGUAAUACGUAGGUUGCGAGCGUUGUCCGGAUUUACUGGGUGUAAAGGGCGUGUAGGCGGAGAAGCAAGUUGGGAGUGAAAUCUAUGGGCUCAACCCAUAAACUGCUCUCAAAACUGUUUCCCUUGAGUAUCGGAGAGGCAAGCGGAAUUCCUAGUGUAGCGGUGAAAUGCGUAGAUAUUAGGAGGAACACCAGUGGCGAAGGCGGCUUGCUGGACGACAACUGACGCUGAGGCGCGAAAGCGUGGGGAGCAAACAGG
rnacentral:rRNA from 1 species